AACUGCCUUGUUCUUUAAUAGUACUGUUUUAUUUAUCCCAGCACACUCUUAAUACAUGAGUUUGAUUAUUCCUGGACACAAAUACAAUGGAUUUGUUGAGGAACAAGGCAGUUCCAUACAGUACUGACUUAUAGAAGGGUUGUCUUCUUCAGUUAUUUUAUUCUUGUGUCAACCACAUUGUCAUUUAAAACAAAAUUUGAAUUUUGGAACAAACUUUCCGAUUUUUUAAAAUACUUUCCCAAAUUUAACAAACAGUUAAGGUCAAAAUAAGGUAGGAGAUUGCCUUUACUUUAUUACCAAGUGGAACUUAUUUGAAUAUGGAUGAACAUCAUGAACUGAAGCAGCAAACUAUACGUAAUUUUUUUUUUUUUGGGGGGGGAGGGAUAAUGUGAGAUAUAGAAAAUGAAAGAAAAGUGAUUGUCAUGAAUGGGAAGGAAAACCACAGCCAGACUACAGGAUGAUGUUCUUUGGAAUAUGUUUUGUAUUAUAAGGAAGCAAAAACAAUCAGCAUUCAAAAAUAUAUAUUAAUUGUUUGGCAAAGCAAUGUCAUAAUUUGGAAUAUUGAGGCUGCAGAUAAGAUUGACAGUUCUAGCUUUGUGCUAGGUGUUAAUCAAUGUAUAAUCUGAUAAGAUUUGAGUCAAAAUUCAAGCACAGAAUUAACCAUAUUUUUAGUAUUUAUCAAAAUUUGUGUGUGUUUCAUCACAGACAUGAUAGGCAAUGACUGAGAUGCUCUUUAUGUACCAAAUUUUAUAAUUUGAAUAAAAAGUUCUAUAUUUUUAAAAUUUUAUUUUGAUUUAAAUAAUCUGAC